GAGUUUGAUCCUGGCUCAGGACGGACGCUGGCGGCGUGCUUAACACAUGCAAGUCGAACGAAAAGACGGAAAGAGCUUGCUCUUUCCGGAAUUGAGUGGCAAACGGGUGAGUAACACGUAAACAACCUGCCUUCAGGAUGGGGACAACAGACGGAAACGACUGCUAAUACCGAAUAAGUUCCAAGAGCCGCAUGGCCCAUGGAAGAAAAGGUGGCCUCUACCUGUAAGCUAUCGCCUGAAGAGGGGUUUGCGUCUGAUUAGCUGGUUGGAGGGGUAACGGCCCACCAAGGCGACGAUCAGUAGCCGGUCUGAGAGGAUGAACGGCCACACUGGAACUGAGACACGGUCCAGACUCCUACGGGAGGCAGCAGUGGGGAAUCUUCCGCAAUGGGCGAAAGCCUGACGGAGCAACGCCGCGUGAGUGAUGACGGCCUUCGGGUUGUAAAACUCUGUGAUCCGGGACGAAAAGGCAGAGUGCGAAGAACAAACUGCAUUGACGGUACCGGAAAAGCAAGCCACGGCUAACUACGUGCCAGCCGCCGCGGUAAUAC
rnacentral:rRNA from 1 species